rnacentral:rRNA from 1 species
CAGCCGCCACGGGAAUACGGAGGGUGCAAGCGUUAAUCGGAAUUACUGGGCGUAAAGCGCACGCAGGCGGUCUGUCAAGUCGGAUGUGAAAUCCCCGGGCUCAACCUGGGAACUGCAUUCGAAACUGGCAGGCUAGAGUCUUGUAGAGGGGGGUAGAAUUCCAGGUGUAGCGGUGAAAUGCGUAGAGAUCUGGAGGAAUACCGAUGGCGAAGGCAGCCAUCUGGCCUAAUACUGACGCUGAGGUACGAAAGCAUGGGGAGCAAACAGGAUUAGAUACCCCUGUAGUCCCUGUCUCUUAUAC